rnacentral:misc_RNA from 1 species
GUAGAUAAACCUGCGGAAGGAUCAUUAACACGAUCCAACGUUAAACCCCCGUGCAUUUUAACCUGCUCUCUUCGCCUUGACAAAGCAAUCUCUGGUAAAUCACGCGAACAGUUUGAUUCAGACUUCUUCGAGACGCGUGGAUGGAGCGGUAGAGCAAUUAGACUUGGUUUCCGCAAGGAUAACUGAUACUUACUCAGAUCGUUGACCCUCCGGUCAACGGACAGGUCUCUGGCUUACGCCCCAUAUUAAC